rnacentral:snoRNA from 1 species
UGGCCAGUGACGAAACAUGAGUUGUACAGAUACUCUUGCAAGUUAAAUGAAGUAAAUUGAAAUACACACAUUGCGUCUCUGAGGUCA